AAAUAAUUUUACAUAAAUUUACAUUAUGAUUACCUGCCAAGGGACCGCAGAUGAAAACUAGCCAUUGGCUAAAUUCGGUACAAUGCAUGAAAUGGA